UCCCAGUCCACCAAGUCUACCUCAGGCAAAGGCAGGAACCAGCAUCCAGCUACUACCGAGUCUUACAUCCACUCAGAGAGAAACAGGGAGCUUCCCAGGGAUAUGGACCAAAACCAUAACUCUACCACACUGCCUCAGGAACCACAAUAUGACCGAAGUAAGCUAAUACAUCCUUCAAAUGGAGCAGUAAAACUGCAAAAAUUCCAAAUGGAAGCAGAGCAGAACGCUGGGAAAAGGAUGUCAACCGAGGUGCCAAAAGGUAUGGUGAGGGUACUACCUUCUUGUAGGCAGCUAGUCCGCCCUCUUUCUACUGAAAAACGACUAACCUCAGGAUACCCCAGCAUAGACACCCAGGCAGACCAGCAACAAUACCACUCCUCAGAGACAGGUCAGAGCCAUCCACAAGUGCUUCCGACUACAGAAGUCAAAAGCAAUCCCAACACAGACUCACAGACACCUCCCAACCAGACCUUUACCCGAGAAGCCCAAAACUUGAAGAGGCAAAGCUCAGCAGAUCGUGCUGCAAGUCCCUCCAGCCUAGAAAGGAAGACUCACUUCAGCCGGCGGGCCUACAGCAGUCCGACUAGACCUUCGACACCUCCAUCCCCCAAGACAACAAGUUCCCCCCAAAGACAGCUUCCUUCCUCACCCAUCAAGACUUUACCUUCUCGAGCUCCUCAGCUGGGUUAUGCUGGGUAUAGCUCGGGCUUAAGAGCCCCAGUUAAAACCACUAUCAACACAAGCAUCCAUAAAACCCCUCCACAGCAGGCUUUAAUGGAGACCUCCCCUCCAAGCAAGUGCCUGCCAAUAACGAAAAGCGUCCGGCCCAAAAUCAUUACAUACAUUCGGAAGACCCCACAGGUGAAACCCCAGUCUCUUGAGGGAACUUAUGAGGUAUCAUCCUUACCUACGAGACUCUCAACAUAUAGCAGCACACAGGCCAAACCAGUGGUCGGAGAUCAAGGGGAAGCCUCUGUGCUGAGUGCCUCAAAUUUACUCUAUGAUAAGUAUCGACAAGAGAUGCAGAAGGUCCGGUUCUUCUCGCCUGGACUCAUGGUGUCUGGGAUUAAACCACCCAGCAACACCAUGCCCCAUAAAAUGGCAGGCAGAGCGGACAGCUUCUAUGGGUCCCUCAACAAGCCUCUGUCUGCAUCGGUAAGGAAUCCUCUAGGAAUAUGCCAAACUCAUAAGACCUUCAUUCAUCUUUGGAACAAAUUAAGAUAUUUUUGAUGAA
ensembl:lncRNA